UGGGGAAUAUUGGACAAUGGACCAAGAGUCUGAUCCAGCAAUUCUGUGUGCACGAUGAAGUUUUUCGGAAUGUAAAGUGCUUUCAGUUGGGAAGAAAGAAAUGACGGUACCAACAGAAGAAGUGACGGCUAAAUACGUGCCAGCAGCCGCGGUAAUACGUAUGUCACAAGCGUUAUCCGGAUUUAUUGGGCGUAAAGCGCGUCUAGGUGGUUAUGUAAGUCUGAUGUGAAAAUGCAGGGCUCAACUCUGUAUUGCGUUGGAAACUGUAUAACUAGAGUACUGGAGAGGUAAGCGGAACUACAAGUGUAGAGGUGAAAUUCGUAGAUAUUUGUAGGAAUGCCGAUGGGGAAGCCAGCUUACUGGACAGAUACUGACGCUGAAGCGCGAAAGCGUGGGUAGCAAACAGGAUUAGAUACCCUGGUAGUCCAUGCCGUAAACGAUGAUUACUAGGUGUUGGGGGUCAAACCUCAGCGCCCAAGCAAAUGCGAUAAGUAAUCCGCCUGGGGAGUACGUACGCAAGUAUG
rnacentral:rRNA from 1 species